rnacentral:rRNA from 1 species
AUGGAGGCACUGCUGCAGGGGCCGCAGCUGCCACCAUUCCUGUCCAAGACAUACGAUCUCGUCAGUGAGCCGCAGCUGGACGGGGUCAUCUCCUGGGGUCCUUCGUCAUGUGGAAUCCUUCCACCUUCGACCGGGACAUGCUCCCGCACAACUUCAAGCACAAGAACUUCUCCAGCUUCGUCAGGCAGCUCAACACCUAUGUGCGUAUCGUAUCACUGUCCUAUCCUCUGUUCUCAUUUUUCUUUUCUUUUGCAAUCUCUCACUGGAUUAUUAUUCAUGCCGCCAUCCUCUGCUCAGGAGGCACUCUGUUUCUGUUUUGGUAUCUGCCACUCUGUUUUGGAUGUUCUAUUUUUCUUUUUGUUCCUUCUGGUUUCUGCUGAUGUACUCAACCCAAAUCUGUUGUGUAUAUAUAUACUCUUUGUACUUCCCUUGAUAAUUUUAGUGAGCGGAGUUGUGGUCUGUAAUGCCAAUUUGGUGUAUCUUUUGUUAGCAGAAUCGUGGUCUGUAAUGCCAAUUUGGCCUUUCCCGAAAAAACUGGUUUAUCUUGAUCACUGA